UCCCGCGUAGCACAUUUGGUCGUGCAACGUCCCGUUAAGGCGGAGAACGGAGGUUCGAGUCCUCCCGCGGGAG
rnacentral:tRNA from 1 species